ensembl:rRNA 5S_rRNA 5S ribosomal RNA
GUCUACGGCCAUACCGUCCUAAACAUGCCCGAUCUCGUCUGAUCUCGGAAGCUAAGCAGGAUCGGGCCUGGUUAGUGCUUGGAUGGGAGACCGAUCCAGCUCCCUGCUAACGUGCUUUAGAAA